rnacentral:misc_RNA from 1 species
AACGCACAUUGCGCCCUUUGGUAUUCCGAAGGGCAUGCCUGUUCGAGCGUCAUUCUCAACCAUCAAGCCUGGCUUGUCGUUGGACCCUUUUGUCGUCGAGAGUCGACAGGUCCGAAAGAUAAUGACGGUGUCGUGCUUGACCCUAGAUGCAACGAGCUUUUCAUAGCACGCAUUCGAAGUGGUCGGCCGGCCCGGUCUCAAACCCCCAUCUUCAAAGGUUGACCUCGGAUCAGGUAGGAAUACCCGCUGAACUUAA